rnacentral:rRNA from 1 species
CCGAAAGGCAGGAGUGCCCGCAAGGGAGCGCGGAGACAGGUGGUGCAUGGCUGUCGUCAGCUCGUGUCGUGAGAUGUUGGGUUAAGUCCCGCAACGAGCGCAACCCUCACCCCUUGUUGCUACCAGGUAAAGCUGGGCACUCUAGGGGAACUGCCCCGGUCAACGGGGAGGAAGGCGGGGAUGACGUCAAGUCAUCAUGCCCCUUACGUCCUGGGCUACACACGUGCUACAAUGGCCGGUACAAAGGGAUGCCACACCGUGAGGUAGAGCUAAACCCAAAAAGCCGGUCUAAGUUCAGAUUGGAGUCUGCAACUCGACUCCAUGAAGGAGGAAUCGCUAGUAAUCGCGUACCAGCACGACGCGGUGAAUACGUUCCCGGGCCUUGUACACACCGCCCGUCACAUCACGAAAGCCAG